GUAUGGAGGUGUACUGUAGUGUGAGUUGUAUUGUACUGUAGUGUGAGGUGUACUGUACUGUACUGUAAGGUGUACUGUACUGUGAGGUGUACUGUACUGUAGUGAGUUGUAUUGUACUGUGAGGUGUACUGUACUGUGAGGUGUACUGUACUGUGAGGUGUAUUGUACUGUAGUGUGAGUUGUAUUGUACUGUGAGGUGUACUGUACUGUGAGGUGUAUUGUACUGUAGUGAGUUGUAUUGUACUGUGAGGUUUACUGUGGUGCUGUUUAUGUGUGAGAGUGGACCAUGCUGCACAGCUUCAAUGCAAAAACACCUCAACCAUGAGAUGAAGGACAUUACAUCAAUCCACAGUGAUGAGUUGGAUGACAAUCAAGGUUAGUGACUGCAGUCAACUUCUGUCACAUUGAACAUGUUCAGCUGGUAUAGUAGGUUAUUUUAGAAGAUGUACAAAUGCAUUCGUGCCGCAGCAAGAUGAGGUGUGAUUGUAUAUCUGCUUUUGGAAACCCUACCAAGCAACGGUACUGAUUGUGAUGUGAGUGGAAAAUAACAAUGUAGAAAAUGUUAUUUUUCUACAGAAAACCUGUCCAUAAACCAAAAGAUAUAUCUCCUCACAGAAAUGGUAUUCAGGUUUGUAGUCAAUAUUCUAACAUCCCUGGUCAUGUUUACAGCUCUAACAAUAUUUUGGAAAAUGGGGAGAAAGAACAGCAUGAGUCGAAAUUGAUUUAUUGCAAAAGCAAAGGUUCACAGAGAGGGUGCGGAAGUCCUGUUGUGUGUAAUUUGCAACAACGUUGUGUUAAGGUAACAGAAAAAAAGACAAGGGAUGGUCCAGGAGGGACUCAUUCCCAAAGCCGUAAACCCCCACAAACCGAACCGAAUGUUCUCUUAUUAUGCUGCAAAGAACACGGAAGAAGGCGAUUACUUACAGCUUAUUAGCGAGACGCAGUGGGGCAUUACUUCUGUGCAGUGCUGUCCUGCCACAUUGUCUAUGUCUUUGCACUUCUUUCCUGGCAACGGGGCAGACUCUUUAGCGCGCUCUCCAGGGACGGAGAAUGACUGGCUUUAACUAAGUGUCCCACGCCGUGGCCCAGAGUCCUCAUUCAGAAAGGCCUCUGGCAUGCGCUGUCCUGCCAAUUAGAGGUCAGAAUAGAGGUACUUGUGCAGGAGAGCCUCGCUUUUAGAUGGACCCGGUCAUUUUUUUCUGUUUUUUUACCGGGACAAACUCAGAGAAGAAUUAGGAGCAGCGGCUCACUGGAUCGCCCCAGAGGCUCUUUAGAAAGCAAAUGCCUUACCAAAUGUUAACUUUUUGAAACCGUUGCAUCACAGGGUGAGUGUUGUUACUAGGGCGGCGCCGGCGAGGAGAAACGCAGAACGUCACAUCCACAUGCCACAGAAAUAAGAAACGUUACAUUUCAUAUGGGACUUUAAACCAAGCGGACAGCUGCUUUGGGCCUUCUGCGAAAACAAGUGUUUUUGGGGGGCGGACAGUAGCACUCUGUUUACUGCGCCGGAGGACACUGGCUAUUUCCUGCCCGGGGGCCCCGACAGAGUCACCAUGACAGGUUCACACGAGGACAUCCAAACCACCCAAGGCAAGACUGUACAUUUCACUUUGGGUCGGCUUUGUGUGUUUGGUGUUAACAACACACGAGCACACAUCGCACCCGCAGAGAAAAGGAAAGGUCUCGACUCGGCUUUAAUGGGACCUGUCGCCGAUAACACAUCAUUAGGCUGGGGGAUGCACGUUAAGAGUUCUGGGAGACAUUUCUUGAGGAUCGUAUCACGCUGCGAAUCACUUUGUAGUGCUCCGCUUUUAUUAAACAGGGGAGAUUUUCCGAUGUAUUUAAUGUUUCUGUUUCAUUUAAGCUGAAUUAACCGCGUGUGAAGUGUGUUUUAAGUGUGCAUGCCUUUACUGAUAGUUCCCUCAAUCCGUCCGGUCAAACUCUCACCCUUUAUACCUCAGCUCAUCUCAGGUGUUACGUAAUGUUCCAGUUUGAGAAGAAGCACAAGCCGCUCAGACUUCAAACACCAAAGCACUGGACACGCUGUCUGUCGAGGCGCCAGAGGCGACACUGUUGAUAGAAUAGCAGUGCGGCCUUAUUGGACCGCGUGUUUCAAAGCCCUUUGUACAGAAUCUAAAAUGAAAACGAGAUCGCUGAGGCUGGAUUAACGAGUUGGUUCCGGAGAGCUGCUGGCUGCAUAUGAAAGCUGUAUUUGACUUUUUUUGUUUUUCUCCAACGUUCGAGAACAGGAUGUUAAGCAACAUGUGUAUGAUUAGUGGAGUUAGUACAUUCUUGCCUUUUGGACAUGAACUAUUCAAGCAGAAUUCAAAGCCUCUGGCUAGAGAGCUGAACAAAUCCACCGCUGGCCUUUGCCUUCAGGUUUUUGUUUUUUUUCAGCGCCGUUCUCUAUUCAUAUCUGAGUCAUGGGACUGAGCUCUCCACAGGAUCUUCUAUCUUCUCCACUUAGGGGCUUUAAUUUCACAAUUCCAAUUCAACUGGAGGAGGUUGUGGACGGAUCAAUGUGUGCAAUAAGACACACAGAGCAUUGCAAUUAGCAGUUGUGCUAAUGCGCCUGAAUGGAUUUUCUGAUUCGGUUGGGGGGGGGCAAUACUGCAGCGCUAAAUCUUUCGCCACCUGUCCUCCGUCAGCGUCUCCAUGACAGCGGAGUCAGAGAAGUCGUAAGCCCCACCCCCCCCCCCGCCUCCCUACAGCCUCAUACCUCUAGGAAACAAACAGUCUACUUCUGUUACCUAUUACGCAUCUAUACAUAUAGUAUAUAACCAUAUGUAUACAUCUAUGUAUAUUCACACAUAUUUAGAUGGGUUUAUUGUGGGACACCAAAGGUCCUUAUAACCCUUUGAGGACUAUAAAGCUGCUUUUGAGGCAGGUUUAAUUUGAUAUAGAUGAAGCUAACUGCCUUCUACCUCCCUCUUAAACAACAUGCCACUAUUGGUAAAGUGUCCUCCAGUCCCGUCGUGCCGGUGUCCCCAUGCGUACGUGUCUCCGACUAUCUGUUCAGAUAAACCCUCCGCUGACACGCACCGACUAACACUGCAGGUUUUCCCUUCCCCUGCCUUGACGUCGGUUGCAAUGCACGGCGCCUUAACAAAAAGUGAACACUGCCUUCUGUCCUCCCUGAAAGAGCAUCGAUUUUUUUACUUCGCAGCACCCAAGGUCAGCGCGAAGAACACGCCGGCAGGAUCUUAUCACCUCCCAGAGUACAGGCUUGCCUCACUCAGUCUAUUUAUUGAAGGGAAGAAUAAACAGGAAUGAAGUUGAGAACGCCGCUGUAUGAUUUAUUGGGACCUUGCAUAAUGGGGAAGCAAAGAAAUAAACCGCUAAUCUCUUUUGUGUUUUGAAUUAAAAUAACAUUGAACCACUCCUUCUCACUCGGAUAUUUACACCCUAACCUCAGACUUUGUGUUUCCUUGGAGGUUUGGUAUUCAUAGGUGACAAAAGGCAACACACAGUGCCUCAAAGGCUGUAAACAAGUAAUGGGCCUAAUCAUGGCGGGUGACAGCAUUUCCAAAUGAAAUCCCUCCCACUGAAUGAUUUUAACGUGGCUCUAUAGUACUUGAGUAGAAUUCAAGUUGACAGCGGAACACACGAGUUAACGUUGCAUCAAAGAGGCAAUGAAGACGCUGCACAUUUUCCGAACACGAAUUUUACUCAUUACAUGAUUGUGUUGUUGGUAUUAUGGUAAUUCUCCUGACACGCACAGUGGCUCACUGUAACGAAUCACAGUUCCAACGCCACUUGCCUUCCUUGAUGUUUUUUUGCUAAAAGGUAACACGUGAAUAACACGCUUAUGAUGAAUUCCAUGAAUUAUUAAAAUGCAAGUUGUAUUUUUUCAAUACAACAACAUUUUGGACUCAUUUUGGAAUUUUCUUUAAUAUAUAUUUAACAUUGUCUAUUGUCAAAUCCACGGGCAACUCUUUGUUGGUUUUCCUCACAGCUCCAGAGAAGAGGCUCUUUCUCUAACUUCCUCAUUAUGAGAAACUGUGCAAAAGCCACAAGAAGCUUUACGUGAAACAUCAUCCUCUUUGGCCAAACGGAUUGAUCCUCUCGUGGCAAACACAGCCAGCAUUUGCAUGAAGUUCUCGGCUCGUCUCUCGCCCCGCGUGCUCGCUUUGCACCGCAAGUGAAUUACCUGCUCCUCGUAGAAGAAGGAGUGGAGGCAGAAUUGAUUUCCUGGUGGUCUGCAGGUUGGCGUGGCUCGCCGUUGAUCCAUAGUCCUCGUCCCCAUGUUAUUGCAGAGGUAGUAGAGAGAGAAAUUCUCAGGCAAAAAAAACAAGAUUAUCAGGCAAUCCUGCCUCGUACGGAACACAAUUGUUCUGGGCAGAAAAUCCCAGAAAAUCCCAGACGCCUAACUGCAAUCCUGUGCCUGCAUAUAUUACUCCCUACAGGAUUUUACUCAUCCAUUAUGCGGGAAAUUAUGGUAGAAGGCUGGCUCUGCUGUGCAAUUAUGAUUCAUCGCAAACUAAUAGGAAAAAGUCAAGAAUCCUCUCCAACAGAAGCAGAAGUGAUUACUCUCAUGAUGCGGCAGGUUGGUGCGAAGGUUUCAGCUAAAGGAAGGAUUGCUUUUUGAAUUGUGCAGAACAAAGUGUGACUCAAAAGACCUGCUUUAUUGCGGUUUUACACGCGCACAUUCUACUUAGUGCACAGAUAGCCAAGCGGCCUCGUCGUGGCUCCAGAGAUGACUAUGUCACUCACUCGGCUGGUCCAGGCUGAAAGAUCUAAAAUGUUGUUGGAUGGGACGUUGUAUUUUGUCCAGACAUUCGUGGUUCCCAGAGGAUGAAGAUCAGUGACUAUUGGUGAUCUCCUGAAUCUGAUCCAUGACCAUCAAUGGGUCAAAGUUCCAGAGAGGUUGUUUGUCUUAUCAUUUUGUUUAAAUUAAAUUGUGUUAACAACCAGUUUACAAUCGUUUAUUCAGGCAAAGGUCCAUCAUGAAGAAACUAGUGAUCACAUAACCUUGUUGUUAGCUGCCGUUGUCCUUAGUUUAGACCAACGACAAGCCUGUGUGUAGAUUCACUCUCACAGUAUUUUGCCCUCGGAUUCCUUCAAUUCCAAUAAAGUGAGUUGCCAUACUCUUACGAGACGCCAUACAAUUUCUACAAAGCUUUCCUAUAUUCCUAUUUCCUAUAUAUUUCUAGGCACUGUCAGUGUACUGCAUCUUUCUUUUUUUAAAUUAUUUGUUAUCUACGAUAUCCUUGCGUUGUUUACUCUGUUGCUCAUUAACAUCAAUUCAUAUAGCUUCUGUAAGAUGUACAUAAAGAGACAUGUAAAAUGCAUACAUAUAUUAAUUACAGCAUAUUUGUCCAAUUUAGAGCCGACGUUGUGCAAAUCGUUUUUGAUAUUUGAACGGAGCCAGUUUAGCCAUUUCCCCUCGUUUCAGGUCGCAAUGCUAAGCUAAGCUAAUCCCCUGCUGACUCUAGCUUCAUAUUCGGUGAGAGUGAGAGUAUGAUUCAUCAUCUGUCCACCUGUAAAAAAAAGCAAAUAGGUUUAUUUCCCCAAAUGUCAAACCAAUCGUCUAUGGACGUGUUUUCGUGUAAGAGAAUAGUGGUUGAUAAUACACAUUAAAUGAUGUCUCUACGACAUUGUAAAAUAUGAUUUUCUAGCAGCAUAUCAACUGCUCAGACUGUGGACUUGUUAUUUGCCCGGUCCUGAUGGGACCAGAACAGCAUCUCCUCACUUAUCAAAUAACGCCCAUUAACAAGCAGACAAUAUUUCCAUUUUACAAAUUGCGCAGUGGGUUUGUCUCGUAUUCAGCGUAAUACCCCCCCUGACGCUGCCAUAACGGCUGUCACAUGCACGUUGUUCUUAGUAAUUUAAUCUAAUUGCAGUGUAAUGUAACCGAUACUGGGGAGGCACGAGGGAAGUGAGUCUGAAGGGAAAGGGAUGUAAUUAAUGAAUUGAUUACCUGGACCCGGAUUGACAGGCCAACAUUCUGUAAAGUGAUUGGUUGGGGCAAUAGGAUGUUGUGUGUGUGUGCAUGUGUGUGCUUCGUGGACUGUACAAACAAGGGGAAUGAAAGCGCCUGGGGCAGGCCCUUUUUUUUCCCUCUGGCCGUCGUUCUAACUUUUCCGCUGAUAAGUACUGGCACACGCUGUUUCCGUAUGGCGAGAUGCCAAAGCAUGAAAACAGAUAGCACGCACUUGGAGAAGCCAACCGGAUGGAGCCAUGCGUGAAACAGUCUUUUGGGUGAGAUGAAUUAUGUUUGCAGGUGAAUAAGCGAGCUAAUAAGAGAUAGGAAGAAUGUGGUGGCACGCCGGCAUUCACAGAUGUGACGCUACCAAAGUAGCCUGCUAUCCAUCCCCGGGAAUGACCAAUACGAAGCCAUGGCACCUUUUUGGAUUUUCUUCUCCGCCGUCCGCCUCCGUCUGAGACAGACAAUCACGUCACUAAAAGCGGUGGCUGUAUGUGUGCAAAUGAAUAAGUAUAGAUAAUGUACGGUAUGUGCGUGUGCCUGCCACUGUGGGUGGAAGCGGCUUGAAAUGGCCCCUGCAUGCUGGUCGCGCCGGUUGCUAUGCAUGCUUGUAUACAUAUCUAAAUAUGCAGGGUUGGGUUUGUGUGUUGUUGUGUGCGCUGCAGCAGCUGACAGGUCCAGUAAUACUGACAGGACGCAGGCCCUUCCCAUGAGGCCGUGCAUGCUGACAGCAGCUGGCCGAAGAAGAAGAGCAGCUGCUGAUGGGCUUCUAGUACAAACAGCCGACACUGCGCUUCCCCUUUAUCUCUCUCCUAUUUGGACAUUAAUAAACGUGUUUAUUUCGCGGCCUUUGUUUCACUACUCGUACAGAAUGUCCUCCCACUUUGUCUCUCUCUCUCUCUCUCUCCCUCUUGACAAUACGUAGCAACCGGACAUUUCUCCUCUCUAUCCAAGACCGACACACGCGGAGUGAAUUCAUCACUCAUCCUGUUACAGCUUGACGGAGGAGGAAGAUGGAAAAAAAAAAAAAAUAAGAAAGCAGGUUAUUGAUUUGCCAUGACACCCCUCAUUUUCCACAGUGAUUGGACUUCCACUAGUUCCGCCAAGCUCGAGCCACCCCGGCCCGCGCCGCUUCCUCCCCCACCGGGAUUACCUCAGGCUCUACACAGGAGUGUUGAGCAGCAAAAAGAGCACUGAGACACAUAUAAUAAGCGCUUCUCUGGCCUUCCUCUCCCCCAUUAGUUGGAUAUGUGGGGCUAUGAUUUAAAUGUGCAUAAACUGGCCAUGUUUAAUUAAAGUAGAGGAGCUGUGGAAAUAUGUGGCUUUGAGAAAAAUGAAUCAUCUUCCAUUCCUUUGAAAAUGGGGAGGUAUUCAGACUUUAGAGGAGGUUUUUGGGGCUAAUGGUAGUAUACGGUGAGGAAGUUGGUCCUUGUGUGUUUUGACGCAUGGGUGUCCAUAUUUGUCUCUGUUCACGCAACGGAGGACACACUUAACAGUAGACCAGAAUCGUUCCCGUCAUCAUAACUUAUUUGCCACGUGCAGAUAUUGUGGAUACAAUCAAAGACCGAUAUUGAGAAAUCAAUAGGUCUUGAAUUUUAUCCUGGAUUUGCUUUGUUGAUCCUGGCUCAUCUUCAUCAAAAUUUUGCAAGCAGACAUGUCAUCUUUUGUGCAAUGGAUUAUCUAAUCGCACUUGCCAUGUUCAUGAAAAAUGAUUGUUGCCGUGACCGUUUUUCAGAAUUUACAUUCAAAAUUAGCGUCAAAGGGCACAAAAGUAGUCUCCAUGUUUAUAUAAAGUAGGGGUGUGACGAUUCACCCACUGAAUCGAUUAAUCGAUUUAUAUUCCUGCGAUCCAACUGAAUCGAUCUGUGCUCCGCAAAUCGGGAUUCCGGACGACAUAUAUCGAUUACAAAUCGAUUGAAAUGCUAGGGCGGCACGGUGGCGUGGUGGUCAGCACUGUUGCCUCACAGCAAGAAGGCCCUGCCUUCGACUCCGCCCAGUGGCCUUUCUGUGUGGAGUCUGCAUGUUCUCCCCGUGUCUGCGUGGGUUCUCUCCGGGUUCUCCGGCUUCCUCCCACAGUCCAAAGACAUGCUCUGGGGAUCAGGUUUAUUGGGGACUUUAAAUUGCCCGUAGAUGUGUGAAUGUGAGUGUGAAUGGUUCUAUGUCUCUAUGUAGCCCUGCGAUUGGCUGGCGACCGGUCCAGGAUGUACCCAGUCUCUCGCCCGAAGUUGGCUGGGAUGGACUCCAGCCCCCCCGCGACCCCUGUGUGUAGGAUAAUCAGUUUGACGAUGGAUGGAUGGAUGAAAUUGUACAUAAUCGAUUUGUAUCGAUACUUGGAAACUGCACAUUGGAUUUAAGCAAAAAAACGGUAUGGAUGUAUGUUUGUUUGUUUGUUUUUUAGCACUUUAGACACAUUAAACGUUACUCGAUUCAGUCUGCCUGUCUGUGACGUCAUCAGUACGCAGCGGCAUCCGCGCAAAACUCUUAACAACAACAAAACACAGCGUGGAGGAGACGAC
ensembl:lncRNA